rnacentral:rRNA from 1 species
AGAGUUUGAUCAUGGCUCAGGACGAACGCUGGCGGCGUGCUUAACACAUGCAAGUCGAACGGAGAACCCCUGUCGGAGGAUUCGUCCAACUGAUGGGAAUUCUUAGUGGCGGACGGGUGAGUAACGCGUGAGGAACCUGCCUUGGAGUGGGGAAUAACAGUCCGAAAGGACUGCUAAUACCGCAUAAUGCAGUUGGGCCGCAUGGCUCUGACUGCCAAAGAUUUAUCGCUCUGAGAUGGCCUCGCGUCUGAUUAGCUAGUAGGCGGGGUAACGGCCCACCUAGGCGACGAUCAGUAGCCGG